GAAAUGCGAUAAGUAAUGUGAAUUGCAGAAUUCAGUGAAUCAUCGAAUCUUUGAACGCACCUUGCGCUCCUUGGUAUUCCUUGGAGCAUGCCUGUUUGAGUAUCAUGAAAUCUUCAAAGUAAAUCUUUUGUUAACUCAAUUGGUUUCUACUUUGGUAUUGGAGGUCUUUGCAGCUUCACACCUGCUCCUCUUUGUUCAUUAGCUGGAUCUCAGUGUUAUGCUUGGUUCCACUCGGCGUGAUAAGUUAUCUAUCGCUGAGGACACUGUAAAAGGUGGCCAAGGUAAAUGCAGAUGAACCGCUUCUAAUAGUCCAUUGACUUGGACAAUACUUUUAUGAUCUCAUCUCAAAUCAGGUAGGACUACCCGCUGAACUUAAGC
rnacentral:misc_RNA from 1 species